rnacentral:rRNA from 1 species
GCGAACGCUGGCGGCAGGCUUAACACCUGCAAGUCGAGCGGGCAUCCUUGUGGUGUCAGCGGCAGACGGGUGAGUAACGCGUGGGAACGUGCCCUUCGGUUCGGAAUAACUCAGGGAAACUUGAGCUAAUACCGGAUACGUGCGAGAGCAGAAAGGUUUAUCUGCCGAAGGAUCGGCCCGCGUCUGAUUAGCUAGUUGGUGAGGUUAUGGCUCACCAAGGCGACGAUCAGUAGCUGGUCUGAGAGGAUGAUCAGCCACACUGGGACUGAGACACGGCCCAGACUCCUACGGGAGGCAGCAGUGGGGAAUAUUGGACAAUGGGGGCAACCCUGAUCCAGCCAUGCCGCGUGAGUGAUGACGGCCUUAGGGUUGUAAAGCUCUUUUCUUCGGGACGAUAAUGACGGUACCGGAGGAAUAAGCCCCGGCUAACUUCGUG